rnacentral:rRNA from 1 species
GAUGAAUGCUGGCGGCGUGCCUAACACAUGCAAGUCGAGCGGUAAGGCCCUUCGGGGUACACGAGCGGCGGACGGCUGAGUAACGCGUGGGAAUUUGCCCCAAAGUGAGGAAUAACUGCCCGAAAGGGUAGCUAAUGCCGCAUAUGGUCUUCGGAUUAAAGGAUUUAUCCGCUUUGGGAGAAGCCCGCGUUGGAUUAGGUAGUUGGUGAGAUAAAAGCUCACCAAGCCAACGAUCCAUAGCUGGUCUGAGAGGAUGACCAGCCAGACUGGAACUGAGACACGGUCCAGACUCCUACGGGAGGCAGCAGUGAGGAAUCUUCCACAAUGGGCGAAAGCCUGAUGGAGCAACGCCGCGUGCAGGAUGAAGGCCUUCGGGUUGUAAACUGCUUUUAUGAGUGAAGAAUAUGACGGUAACUCAUGAAUAAGCACCGGCUAACUACGUGCCAGCAGCCGCCGCGGUAA